GGAGUAGCAGGGGUUGCAGGUCUCUGUUGGGGGAACACAGAGCCCUGUGAGGGCAACCUGGCCCAUGAGGGCAACACAGACACUAAGCGAGGGAUAGCAUGCCUCUUCUGCUGACCCCUGGUAGUUUAGUUUCCCCAAAAAAACCUACUUCUUAUCUCUCUAUACUUGGUGACAUUGUAUUUUCCUUACCCACUUGACACAUCCAGGCUUUGUUUAUGGCUUAAGAGCAACAGAAGCCAUCAAAGGGUUAAGCAUGGGGCUAUCUGACUGGAUCUGUGCUUCCAAAUGCCUUUAGGGCUGCAGCAUGAAGAAAGGGCUGUAAGGAGAGGGGCAGCAGAAAGGGAGAGACUGUGGAGAGGGGAGCUGGGUGUGGCAGCCCUGCUAUCAGCUCAGGGGUGUCUGGGGCCACAGAAACACCAGGAACCAGCAGCUGUCACUGAGCGCUGAGGUGACCCUAUCCUCAGCACUGGGAGAGGAAGGAUGCCAGGCUGGCCUCAGAGGGCAUGGGCCCUGGUCAGGAUGGAAACAGGGAGGACUUAGAGCGUGUGUCCCUGCACUGAGCUUCUUCCCCCAGGUACCCCUUCACCCACUACCCACAAUGAGCCUUGAGAGCCAGAGAUCUGCAAAGGAGGGGCCUCAGAAGGAUGUGCACCUGAGGCUCAUGCUGGCGCCCACCAGGAAGCACAGCAUCUCCCUCUGAGUAUGGGUGCUCCAGCCCCCACAGCCUGAAUCUGCGGCUAUAAGAGAACUGUUUAUCAAGACUCGGGGACAUGGAAGAGGCGCUGGUAUAUCCCUCCACUCCACUCCUCAAAUCUCAGUGCUGUGCCUCAGGACAUGGCACCCGCAGAGGACAUUCCCGGAAGCUGAGCAGCCCCCCUUGGAAAUGGUGUGUACAGCCUCCACCUCUCCAGCUCUGGGGCUCUCAUUUCUGCUCCUACAGCCUCCUCCAAGAGAGAAGCCAUCGGCCCUAAGAACAGGCCGGGUCCACGCCAGACACAGGAGCAGGCAUCCAGUGGACCAGGAAGGAAUGCUGAGGAUGGAGGAAAGCUGCUCCUGCCCUUAAAUUCUCUGUGGGCUUGAGA
rnacentral:lncRNA from 1 species